GAGUUUGAUUCUGGCUCAGGAUGAACGCUGGCGGCGUGCUUAACACAUGCAAGUCGAACGAAGCGGGAAGGAAGAAGUUUUUCGAAAUGGAUUUUUUCUUUGCUUAGUGGCGGACGGGUGCGUAACACGUAGGUAACCUACCCUGUGCUUCGGAAUAACUCCGGGAAACCGGUGCUAAUGCCGAAUAAUAUCGCCUGUCGGCAUCGAGAGGCGAUCAAAGAAUUUUGGCACAGGAUGGGCCUGCGCCGGAUUAGCUGGUUGGUGAGGUAACGGCUCACCAAGGCGACGAUCCGUAGCCGACCUGAGAGGGUGAUCGGCCACACUGGAACUGAGACACGGUCCAGACUCCUACGGGAGGCAGCAGUGGGGAAUAUUGCACAAUGGGGGAAACCCUGAUGCAGCAACGCCGCGUGAGCGAUGAAGGCUUUCGAGUCGUAAAGCUCUGUCCUAUGGGAAGAUGAUGACG
rnacentral:rRNA from 1 species